AACAUGUGAAACAAAUGAAUGCGAUGCACCAGUGUCAAAUAAAACAUGAGCAAUAUGGUUACAGAUACUGUACAUACCCUGUACCACGUAUGGGUCGGCAUCGGUAUCCUGCUGUGUGAGGUUGUAAACCCUGCCCUGAAUAGGAGGUCUUCCUUGAUUUUGGUUCCUCGGGCACUCUCUUGUAUAGUGCUAGGCACUACCACAUAUGCGACAGGUGUUAUUGAGGCGGUACCAUGGUCGGUCCAUGUGAUCCCUGCCGCAGUACUGACAGAUCUUUCC
rnacentral:lncRNA from 1 species